rnacentral:rRNA from 1 species
GAACGAAACUUCUUUAUCACCGAGUGCUUGCACUCACCGAUAAAGAGUUGAGUGGCGAACGGGUGAGUAACACGUGGGCAACCUGCCCAAAAGAGGGGGAUAACACUUGGAAACAGGUGAUAAUACCGCAUAACCAUAGUUACCGCAUGGUAACUAUGUAAAAGGUGGCUAUGCUACCGCUUUUGGAUGGGCCCGCGGCGCAUUAGCUAGUUGGUGGGGUAAGGGCUUACCAAGGCAAUGAUGCGUAGCCGAACUGAGAGGUUGAUCGGCCACAUUGGGACUGAGACACGGCCCAAACUCCUACGGGAGGCAGCAGUAGGGAAUCUUCCACAAUGGGCGAAAGCCUGAUGGAGCAACGCCGCGUGGGUGAAGAAGGUCUUCGGAUCGUAAAACCCUGUUGUUACAGAACAAAGUGCGUGAGAGUAACUGUUCACGUUUCGACGGUAUCUAACCAGAAAGCCACGGCUAACUACGUGCCACCCGCCGCGG